UACAGAGGCCACAAGCGUUAGUCGGAAUCACUGGGCUUAAAGCGCACGUAGGCGGCAUCGUAAGUGUCCGGUGAAAUCCCACGGCUCACCCGUGGAACUGCCUGGCAGACUGCGAUGCUCGAGUAUGGUAGGGGAGAGCGGAACUCCUGGUGGAGCGGUGAAAUGCGUAGAUAUCAGGAGGAACACCGGUGGCGAAGGCGGCUCUCUGGUCCAUGUCUGACGCUGAGGUGCGAAAGCUAGGGGAGCAAACAGGAUUAGAAACCCCGGUAGU
rnacentral:rRNA from 1 species